ensembl:misc_RNA 7SK 7SK RNA
GGAUGUGAGGGCAAUAUGGCUGCGACAUCUGCCACCCCAUUAUCGCCAGGGUUGAUUCAGCUGAUCUGGCUGGCUAGGCGAGUUUCCCUUUCUUCUCUCAUCCUCCUCCCUCACCGCUCCAUGUGUGUCCCUCCUGAAGCUGCAUGCUCGGUGGAAAAAGACAGCCUUCCUGGAAUAGAGACUGACCAGAGUAUAGUUGAGGGUAUAAGAGUAGCUGCACUCCCCUGCUAGAACCUCCAAACAAGCUCUCAACUCAGACCGCAUGCUUUUGAGUCCAAUGCUUUAUCCACUGCACCAUUUCAAAGUGUAGUAAUAGUAAAUGCUGCUGG